rnacentral:rRNA from 1 species
AGAGUUUGAUCCUGGCUCAGAAUAAACGCUCGCGAUACACAUAACACAUGCAAGUCGAAGGGUUCCCCGGUGAAUCCUGGCGUACGGGUGCGUAACACGUGAGAAUCUGCCCCAUACAGGUGGUGAAAUACCACGGGUAUAGUACUAGAUAUAGAUCGGUAUGGGAUGAGCUUGCGGGGUAUUAGGUAGUUGGUGUGGUAAGGGCGCACCAAGCCAUAGAUGCCUAGCUGGUUUGAGAGAACGACGGGCCACACUGGGACUGAGACACGGCCCAGACGCUUACGAGCGGCAGCAGUGGGGAAUAUUGGACACUGGGCGCAAGCCUGAUCCAGUGAUAUCGCGGGGGGGAUGACGGCGAUUGACGUUGUAAACCCCAUAUAUAUGCUAUAGACUAUGACCGUGGGAUAUAUACAAGUCCCGGCUAAUCUCGUGCCAGCAGCCGCGGUAAUACGAGAGGGGCAAGCGUUAUUCGAAAUGAUUGGGCGUAAAGCGCACGUAGAUGGAUAUGGGUGGACACUCCUAUGCACAUAGCCUAUGUGUCCAUAGAGUGUAUCCACCCAUAUCUGGAGGACGGUAGAGGAACACGGAAUUCCCCAGGAAGCGGUAGAAUGUGUUGAUCUAGGGAGGAACACCAAUAGCGAAAGCAGUGCUCUAGCACGUACCUGACGUUGAGGUGCGAAAGCGUGGGGAGCAAAAGGGAUUAGAUACCCCUGUAGUCCACGCUGUCAACGAUGACCAUUCCCCAUGUCCCGAUUCUAUUGGGGCGUGGGUUAGCUAACGCGGUAAAUGGUCCGCCUGAGGAGUACGGUCGCAAGACUAAAACUCAAAGGAAUAGACGGGGGCUCACACAAGUGGUGGAACAUGUGGUUUAAUUCGAUACAAAAGCGCAUAACCUUACCAGUUCUUGACAUGAAACAGCGUUUCACAGGUGUUGCAUGGCUGUCGUCAGCUCGUGUGGUGACAUGUUGGAUUAAUUUCCCGAACGAGCGAAACCCAUCCCUUGUGCACACACUCUCAAGGGACCGCCAGUGAUAGACUGGAGGCAGGAAUGGAUGACGUCAAGUCCUCAUGACCCUUAUGAACUGGGCUACACACGUGUUACAAUGGUGUACGCAAUGAGUUGCCAUGACGAAAGUCGGCGCCAACCUCCAACGUACAUCCCAGUUCGGAUUGAUGUCUGCAACUCGACAUCAUAAAGAUGGAAUCACUAGUAAUCGCGGAUCAGCACGCCGCGGUGAAUAUGUACCUGAGCCUUGCACUCACCGCCCGUC